AUUGAACGCUGGCGGCAGGCUUAACACAUGCAAGUCGAGCGGAGAUGAGGUGCUUGCACCUUAUCUUAGCGGCGGACGGGUGAGUAAUGCUUAGGAAUCUGCCUAUUAGUGGGGGACAACAUUCCGAAAGGAAUGCUAAUACCGCAUACGUCCUACGGGAGAAAGCAGGGGACCUUCGGGCCUUGCGCUAAUAGAUGAGCCUAAGUCGGAUUAGCUAGUUGGUGGGGUAAAGGCCUACCAAGGCGACGAUCUGUAGCGGGUCUGAGAGGAUGAUCCGCCACACUGGGACUAGGACACGGCCCAGACUCCUACGGGAGGCAGCAGUGGGGAAUAUUGGACAAUGGGCGGAAGCCUGAUCCAGCCAUGCCGCGUGUGUGAAGAAGGCCUUUUGGUUGUAAAGCACUUUAAGCGAGGAGGAGGCUACUUAGAUUAAUACUCUAGGAUAGUGGACGUUACUCGCAGAAUAAGCACCGGCUAACUCUGUGCCAGCCGCCGCGGUAAAAC
rnacentral:rRNA from 1 species